rnacentral:tRNA from 1 species
GGAUGUAGCUCAGUGGUAGAGCACUUGCCUCGCAUGCAUGAAGCCCUGGGUUUGAUCCCUAAGCACCA